CUCUUUAGACAUCACAACACAGAUAGUGUUGAUCUCUUCUGCUGCUGCCGGAUCUCUGUUGAUUAUAGUUACAGUCGUGAUCUGCUGCAUCUGCAGGAAACGUAAAAAAAUAGGUCAGGAGAUAAAACAAAUCAAACCAAGGUUGGAGACAUGAAGGAUUCUGCAUUGUGUAAACCAACAAGACGAAAAAAGAAAUCAAAGGAGGAGAUUUAUGAAAACAUCACCCCAAAACGCUGAUCAAAUUCAACAUCUCUGCCAGGAUAUUUUUAUUCUGACUCUGUUUUGCUUUUUUUUUUUUUUCAUCUAAUGUUUAUUUACUAUUAUUAUGUCUGAUAUUGAGUUGCUGUGGGGGAGACCAGGGAAGGUUGUAACAUGGGAAGAGUAACAUAAUCACUUCAGUGUUUUCCUACUGAAUCCUCCCCAAUCCAGAGAGAGAGAGAGCACUGAGAGACAGAACUGAUUUUGAGUAGUCUGGGAAAACCCAGAUGAACUGGAUUUGAGAUUUGCUCUGCAAGUCAGUCUGUCCAAGAUCCAUUCAAGCACAUUUACAAUUUUUCCAAAUUUUCCAAGCACCAAUCACAAACAUUAAGGUUUAAACAUUUAAAGCCUUACACGAUGACCAUCGCUUUGAUUGGUUUUAGAUCUAUUUCGCCCAGAGGCAUUUAAGCGGCGUCCGUUGGCGAUGCCCCUUUGAAAAUGGGCUGUGAAUGAACCUUCCCCAGGUUUAGGAUUUUGUAUAUAUAGUAUACAGGUUAUAUCAAAUAUAGUAUUGGUCAAAAUUUGUACCAGGGUCUGGUGUCAACCAGGCUAGAUUUUGAGGUCAAUACUAUCUUUUGUUUAGUAACAGUACUGUUGCAGAUAAAAUUCUAUGAAUUAUAUUAUUUUAUCAUAAUUUCCCUCCUGCUAAUUUCAACUAUGCUAAUACAGCUAGCUAAACAUUGGUUGACAGGGGUGGGUGGGUUGUAACACUUAUUUAAAAAGUGUUAUAACCAUCCCUUUAGUAAGAAUAUUCUUGAUUUUAACGUUUUUAAAGGGCAUAAAGAAAAACUGACAAGAGGUGCCUCUGCCAGUGUUUUAUGUAAAGUGGUUUGCAUGAAGCAAUUAAACAACUCAAAGCCAAAGAAGGUUUGGGUGAAAUGCACCCUAUGCAGUUUCUGGGCCCAUCAAGCCACUCGGCACACAUAAUCUGUCAGAACUGU